rnacentral:rRNA from 1 species
GGGGGAUAACUACUGGAAACGGUAGCUAAUACCGCAUAACGUCGCAAGACCAAAGAGGGGGACCUUCGGGCCUCUUGCCAUCAGAUGUGCCCAGAUGGGAUUAGCUAGUAGGUGGGGUAACGGCUCACCUAGGCGACGAUCCCUAGCUGGUCUGAGAGGAUGACCAGCCACACUGGAACUGAGACACGGUCCAGACUCCUACGGGAGGCAGCAGUGGGGAAUAUUGCACAAUGGGCGCAAGCCUGAUGCAGCCAUGCCGCGUGUAUGAAGAAGGCCUUCGGGUUGUAAAGUACUUUCAGCGGGGAGGAAGGUGUUGAGGUUAAUAACCUCAGCAAUUGACGUUACCCGCAGAAGAAGCACCGGCUAACUCCGUGCCAGCAGCCGCGGUAAUACGGAGGGUGCAAGCGUUAAUCGGAAUUACUGGGCGUAAAGCGCACGCAGGCGGUCUGUCAAGUCGGAUGUGAAAUCCCCGGGCUCAACCUGGGAACUGCAUUCGAAACUGGCAGGCUAGAGUCUUGUAGAGGGGGGUAGAAUUCCAGGUGUAGCGGUGAAAUGCGUAGAGAUCUGGAGGAAUACCGGUGGCGAAGGCGGCCCCCUGGACAAAGACUGACGCUCAGGUGCGAAAGCGUGGGGAGCAAACAGGAUUAGAUACCCUGGUAGUCCACGCCGUAAACGAUGUCGACUUGGAGGUUGUGCCCUUGAGGCGUGGCUUCCGGAGCUAACGCGUUAAGUCGACCGCCUGGGGAGUACGGCCGCAAGGUUAAAACUCAAAUGAAUUGACGGGGGCCCGCACAAGCGGUGGAGCAUGUGGUUUAAUUCGAUGCAACGCGAAGAACCUUACCUACUCUUGACAUCCAGAGAACUUUCCAGAGAUGGAUUGGUGCCUUCGGGAACUCUGAGACAGGUGCUGCAUGGCUGUCGUCAGCUCGUGUUGUGAAAUGUUGGGUUAAGUCCCGCAACGAGCGCAACCCUUAUCCUUUGUUGCCAGCGGUUCGGCCGGGAACUCAAAGGAGACUGCCAGUGAUAAACUGGAGGAAGGUGGGGGAUGACGUCAAGUCAUCAUGGCCCCUUACGAGUAGGGCUACACACGUGCUACAAUGGCGCAUACAAAGAGAAGCGACCUCGCGAGAGCAAGCGGACCUCAUAAAGUGCGUCGUAGUCCGGAUUGGAGUCUGCAACUCGACUCCAUGAAGUCGGAAUCGCUAGUAAUCGUAGAUCAGAAUGCUACGGUGAAUACGUUCCCGGGCCUUGUACACACCGCCCGUCACACCAUGGGAGUGGGUUGCAAAAGAAGUAGGUAGCUUAACCUUCGGGAGGGCGCUUACCACUUUGUGAUUCAUGACUGGGGU